CAUAGCCGCGGGAAUACGGAGGGUGCGAGCGUUAAUCGGAAUUACUGGGCGUAAAGCGUGCGCAGGCGGUUAUAUAAGACAGAUGUGAAAUCCCCGGGCUCAACCUGGGACCUGCAUUUGUGACUGUAUAGCUAGAGUACGGUAGAGGGGGAUGGAAUUCCGCGUGUAGCAGUGAAAUGCGUAGAUAUGCGGAGGAACACCGAUGGCGAAGGCAAUCCCCUGGACCUGUACUGACGCUCAUGCACGAAAGCGUGGGGAACAAACAGGAUUAGAUACCCCGGUAGUCCCUGUCUCUUAUACC
rnacentral:rRNA from 1 species